rnacentral:rRNA from 1 species
UACGUAGGGGGCAAGCGUUGUCCGGAUUUAUUGGGCGUAAAGAGCGUGUAGGCGGUUAUGCAGGUCCGCUGUGAAAACUGGAGGCUUAACCUCCAGACGUCGGUGGAAACCGUAUGACUAGAGUCCGGAAGAGGAGAGUGGAAUUCCUGGUGUAGCGGUGAAAUGCGCAGAUAUCAGGAAGAACACCCGUGGCGAAGGCGGCUCUCUGGGACGGUACUGACGCUGAGACGCGAAAGCGUGGGGAGCAAACAGG